rnacentral:rRNA from 1 species
GACGAACGCUGGCGGCGUGCUUAACACAUGCAAGUCGAACGAUGAUGCCAGCUUGCUGGUGGAUUAGUGGCGCACGGGUGAGUAACACGUGAGCAACCUGCCCCUGACUUCGGGAUAACCGCGGGAAACCGUGGCUAAUACCGGAUAUGACGCGCUAUCGCAUGGUGGUGUGUGGAAAGAUUUAUCGGUUGGGGAUGGGCUCGCGGCCUAUCAGCUUGUUGGUGGGGUGAUGGCCUACCAAGGCGACGACGGGUAGCCGGCCUGAGAGGGUGACCGGCCACACUGGGACUGAGACACGGCCCAGACUCCUACGGGAGGCAGCAGUAGGGAAUAUUGCACAAUGGGCGCAAGCCUGAUGCAGCGACGCCGCGUGAGGGAUGACGGCCUUCGGGUUGUAAACCUCUUUCAGUAGGGAAGAAGGCCUUCGGGUUGACGGUACCUGCAGAAGAAGCGCCGGCUAACUACGUG